GUCUUUUUUUAUAAAGCACUGAUUAUAAACUGAAGAAACACAAUAUCAUGUAUUGUUUCUGAAAAAAUCAUUGAUGAGUAGCCAUAAAAAUUUAAAUAGCUGAGAAUAGUCUUGAAAGAUCAAUAGGCCAGGCAGAGUUCUUAGAAUAUGCACUGGCCUCACCCACA
rnacentral:snoRNA from 1 species